GGUGUUUGUGCUGAUGUCCUCAACUUGGUGCACAAUGUUGUGAUUGGAUCUCCACCAACACUCCCAUGCUGCAGCCUUCUUGAAGGCCUCGUCAACCUCGAGGCCGCGGUAUGCCUUUGCACAGCCAUUAAAGCCAACGUUCUGGGGAUCCAUCUCAAUCUUCCUAUUGCCCUCAGCUUAGUUCUAAACAACUGCGGCAAGCAAGUCCCAAAUGGCUUCGAAUGUACCUAAAUUUCUAGUGUGACAGAAGGAUCCUGAUGUGCUUUCUGGGGAUUUUGUUCUUUGUGUUUUUGAUUUAUUGUAAAGUGUGCUGUUUUUUGAUUGCAGUAUUGUUGGCUUAACAAUAUAUUCAUUUAUUUUUCUUUUAUGAAGUGAUUUAAUGGAAAAAAUUGUUUUGAGUUCGGUCACCUUAGAUUAGUUUGUGGCUUAUGGCUUGGUCAUGAAUACUUUAAUACUCCUCCGUCCCACAAUACAAGUCUCUUUUGAAAAAAUUACGCAUGUUGCAUUGGAAACUAGAAGUGAACAAGUAUUAUGAGAAAAAAUUUCUUCUAAAAGAGACUAGUAUUGUGGGACGGAGGGAGUACAUGAGUGUCAGAGAGAGUAAACUUUUAAGCGUGGUUAAAAUUUUUCAAACUCCGAAAAAUUACGCAUGUUGCAUUGGAAACUAGAAGUGAACAAGUAUUAUGAGAAAAAAUUUCUUCUAAAAGAGACUAGUAUUGUGGGACGGAGGGAGUACAUGAGUGUCAGAGAGAGUAAACUUUUAAGCGUGGUUAAAAUUUUUCAAACUCCGUGAAAAAAGUCUGAAAGACUAGGUAUCUAAAUGGUGGUGAGUAGUGUGCUAAAUUUACAAAAUUGGGAAAGAAAUUUUUAUAUAAAAUGACAUGAUAUAAUUGAGGUGAUAUGUUUUAAUUCGUGUUAUUUAUGUGAAUAUCGGAUUCUAUUUCAAUCAAAAGUUAACAGGUUUCAUCUUUUAAAAGAUUUUGUACCCAUUUUUGUAUACGUAAUAUUUUUCUACUUUUUAAUAUUAAACCUAAUGGCUCAUCUUGCUAAUUGUCCGAAGACAUUUUCUUUUCUUCAACUAAUAUAAUUAAGAAAUUCGGGAAAAUAAUUUUAGUUCUUAUGAUACAAAUCUAAAAAUAUUAAAAAGAGAUCAUGCACUUGCGAUAUCUUAAAAUUAUAUUUUUCGCACAUGGACUAAAAUUCUAAAGUUAAAACUUAACGUACCAAAGUAGUGACUAACUCAAAUUUUAUUAUUUGAAUUUAAUGAUAUAAAAUAAGAAAAACUAUUAUUUUUUGGGCCCCUCUUGGAAAUAUUUAAAUUCCCCUAAAAUGAGUUUUUCUCGGGGAGGGUUUGUCGCCAGCAAUCCUGACUACCUUACAGACGACUAAUCAAAUAUAUCUGUACGCACCUAGUUCUCUAUUCGGUGUUAAUGAUGCCCGUGACAAUGCUAGAGUCAAGAAUGAAUACAGAAAUACCCUCAUAAACGGACCAGAUGAAUGUGGAUAAAUUACAAAUAAAAGAAUCCUGAAAUAUUUGUCAGGGGCAGUCUAAAAUAUAUGUCGGAAAAUAUAAUCAUAAUAACUAGCACAUCUAAAAUUUGAAGGUGUUAGAGGAAGGCUCAACAAGAUCUUAUGCUCUUUUCCUAGUGCAGCAUCGAUCAGUAGGACUAGGGGUCGUUUUUACUAAUUUAAACACCUAAAAAUGAAAGAAAUCUGAAAAAAUUUAACUUCUGACGGUAAGAUGAUGCAUGAAACAACAGAACGAAACAGAUGUAAACUAUAUAAUAUGGUUGAUUUCGGUUUGCUUGAUCCAUAUCAUACAAUUUUUUGAAAAAAAGCGAGAACUCACUACUAGAUAUAUUGCAUUAGACCUCGAUUAUUAAUCAAACGGAUGUCUUCGCAUGUGCAGAGAAAAGUAAGGGUAUAUGACAUCGGUUUUUAGCCGAUGUUAAAGGGGAAGGAACAUAGACAAGGGUUUGCUUAUGAAAACUGAUGUAUUUAACUCAUAUUUCUAAUUAUAUUGUAAAACUAAAUAUGAAAUCUUUCUACAUUAGUAGGUUAAGGAGCAUUAUAAACAUAUAUAAUACGGAAGAAUAUUAGACUCAUGCAUAGAUCAGAAUUGUUGUCAUUAUGAACAUGUCAAAACAUACUACAAACAAAGCUAUGUUAAAUCAUGAGAUAAAGAGCAAGCCAUGUUAAAAAACCAGGCUUUUACAUCAAUCGAGAACCUAACACUCUUAGAACUAUUUUCUCAAUGCCAAAUCCAAUCAAUAAUACCCCCCUUAUUAUUUCAUUAAGUACUUAUUCACUUCAAUAAGUUGUUUAUAAAUCAGACUAUGCUUCCUCUAUAUCAGUUCACGGGACAUCAAUUAUUGAUCAUAUGUGACAAGAACAUGCCAAGUUGUUCAUGUAUUAUUCACUCAUAUAGCCUCCAAAAAUAUCUCUUCAUUUAAUGUGCUUGACAGCUCAAUUUCACGAACUUAUCACACAGAAACCCCCUAUAAAUUCAUCACUAAUCACAAUCCUUUCCAUUACAACAUAAACACUCUUCUAAGCCUCUGAUCAACAAUAGUUCUCAUUAGUCUUUGAGUUUGAGAGAUGGGGUCCAAGAACAGUGCUUCAGUAGCUCUCUUUCUCACCCUUAACAUUCUCUUCUUUGCAUUGGUGAGUUCCACUGAAAAAUGCCCUGAUCCUUAUAAGCCUAAGCCCAAGCCCACUCCCAAACCAACUCCCACUCCUUAUCCAUCUGCAGGAAAAUGCCCUAGAGAUGCCCUAAAGUUAGGUGUCUGUGCUGAUGUCCUCAACUUGGUGCACAAUGUUGUGAUUGGAUCUCCACCAACACUCCCAUGCUGCAGCCUUCUUGAAGGCCUCGUCAACCUCGAGGCCGCGGUAUGCCUUUGCACUGCCAUUAAAGCUAACAUAUUGGGAAAGAACCUCAAUCUUCCUAUUGCCCUUAGCUUAGUUCUUAACAACUGCGGCAAGCAAGUUCCAAAUGGCUUCGAAUGUAC
rnacentral:lncRNA from 1 species